rnacentral:lncRNA from 1 species
GGCUGGGAUUUGUAGUCCUCACUGGCUUCCUGGCCUACCCCUCUCCGGAAGAAAAUGGCUGCCUCAAGUGCUUGGACCACAUUUCCCGGAGUGCCCCGGGCUCCUGUUUUCCGCCCACUUUCUUCCGUACCCCGCUGCGCUCCAAGCACGGCGGGUCCAGUGCGGGUUCGGAUCUGGAGUUGGUAGUCUGCUACCCUGCUUCCACUGCACCAUCCCCCACCGCAUACACAGUUCUCUUCUGGACUUCUGAGAAUGCACCUGCAGUUUCCAGCAGCGUUGCCGCCAGGUGAAUUUGAUGAUCCGAUAGUAGGUGACCUUUGAAAGUUAACAGGGGUGCCAUGGGCUGAGUAAGAUAAAUGGAACUGCUGUU